rnacentral:tRNA from 1 species
GGUGUGAGUAUAGCAUAUAUAAAUCAAAUAAUUAGUGUAUAAAAUAAGAGGAAUCAUAAUCCUUGUGUCGGGGGUUCGAGUCCCUCCUCCGCUACCA